CUGGGGCUUAGCCUGCUGACUCCAGCCCCUUUGGAAAAAGGCUGGCGGGACUUGAAAAAGUGAUUAAGAUACCCAACUCGUGUCCAAGUUUGCAAAGUGCUCCCCUACCUGUUUUAUUGAAGAGUCCCAUUUCUCUGGUGGGCAAGGACCCCGAGUGCUUUUCUGCCUCGGGGUUUUUGCCCGGACGGUACCCUGCUUCUGGAAUCUUUUCCUUCUCAGCUCUCAAAGGCUCUGCUCCAGUGGCCGGCAUCCUCGCAACCCGGAAGGUGAAGCCUGGAGAAUCUUGCAGAAGGUUUGGCUGCCUCAGACGGGAAGUGACACAUCACUUUUGAUCCUAUUCCAUUGGCCAGAACCAGUCAGUGACCCAGCCUAACUCAAGGGCCUGGGGAAAACUGCCCGUUUGGAAACUGAGCCCAUCUGUGGCAUGCCAGGUCACCAGGAAAGCUUCUGGCUGAGCAUAGGACAAACACCAGUGAUUCUAUUCUCAAAAUCUUGUGACACCUCUCGCCACAAAACCAAGCAUUGAGGCUGAUGCUUGAAUCAUUCUGGAUACAUCCCUUGAAGAGGCUUGACCCAAACCAAUUCAAAAACAGAAAACACCAAAGAGCCAAAUUCUUGGCUUUUAUGUGUGCCUAAGCAGGCUUUUGAAAUUCAUGGCAGAGAUAAUCAUCUUGAAAGCCAAGGCUUUUGAUUUGCAAGAUUUGCAAAGGAGAGGACUUUUUUUGUUGUUAAGGUCUCUAAACUUUGGCUUUUGAGAAUCGAAACUUUGGAUUCAAAAGCAAAUCCUGGAAUAAAGUUUAGGCUACAACAAACAAGACAUCGGCAGGGGAACAGAUGAAAAGUCAGAUUAUCCUGUUCCUGAGGCUGAAAAUAUUCAAAAUAAAACACCCGGGAGGUGAAAUGAACAGACAGGCUACGAGCUGGUGGGCUGAUCAUCGUUGACAUUACACAAUAUUUAUUCUCUCUACUUUUGCAUAUGUUUUGAAGUUCCCUAUAAUAAAAAAUUUUGCUCUUGUUCGUUUUAAUGUCAAGUGGGAAGACUACCAAGAAGAUGAUUGAAAUUGUGCGGGCAGGAAGUGGUGGUGUCUAGACUAGGGUAGCCAUGUCAGAGAGGGCUGAAGAGGCUUCAGAGAGGCAGAUGGAUUCAAAACAAAGCUGGUGGUAUCCUACUGGAUUAUUUCAGCAUCUCAUGCAUUAAAUCCCCAUGCACUGUCCCUCCUCCUUCACUUUGAGAGCUUACUGUACUCUGCCUUCAGCUCUUGGGAGACAAGCUGUCUUGGGGGAAGGGCAAUACUGGGUUAGCCACUGGGGUAGGUUCCUGCAAAGGGUCUCUACCCUGGACCCCAUCUACAGCUUGAGGAACCUUGGAAACAUCCAGAUGCCUUUGAGCGUUAGUCUAAGAGCAGUGGGAACCUCAAAGGAUGUUUAAUAGGUCCUGGGUUGAUAUUAAAAGUCCGUCUAACCCAGCUGCUGCAUGGAGCAGUUUGGAGUGAGCUGUCUAUGGAAACGGACCAGCUAGGGGGCACUGCAGCAUUCCAAGUACUUUAUAGAAACAUUUCUUUUUUCCUCAAGGCAACCCUGUGAAAUGGGGAUUAUUACCCUCAUUUGGAACGCAAGGAAUCUGAGAUCAGAGACGUGGAGUGAUGUACUCAAGGUCACACAGCAAUUACUUGUAAGGUUGCCAGAUAAAAUUCAGCAAAACAGGACAUGGAGCAUAAUUAUACUAAAAUAUUAUUCAUUGUUUACUUGAAGUUCGAAUUUAACUGGGUGACCUAUAUUUUUAUUUGUAAAUCUGGCAACUGUAAUGGCAGACCAAGCUGGGGUUUGAGGCCAGGGUCUGGCUCAAAAGUCCUGGUCCUUUUCCAAAACUGCCUUGACUCUAGGAUGAGGAUUUGCUCUGGUUCAUCUCCCUGUCCUGCUCAUCACCUCCCUAGGGUCUUGCUGACAGAGUCCCUAGCAAAUAUUUGUUGAGUGAAUAUAUAGGAGAAUGUACAGUCUCAGAGAAUUUGGGGACCUUCCUGGACAAUGAAAAAUUGGGUUAUCCUGCUACCAUCACUUACCUACCAACUGUGUGAUUUCGGACAAAUCACUUAAGCCCCCUGUGCCUCAGCUUCCCCAUCUGUAAAAUGGAGAUGGUAAUGAUACCACUAAUAAUAGCACAUUCCACAUAGGUGUGUUUUGAGGAUUAAAUGUGUAAACUUGUGCAAUGCCAUGCUUCAUGUAGAGGAAGACCACAAGAAAUGUGGGCUAUGACUAAGGGUCAAGAGUAAGAUCAAGAAGUAAUUAAAAUGCUGCAAACCUCACACUUCCAAGAACACACAAUUUUCUUUCAGAAAGAGUUCUACUCCCUUUUGCCUGUGGUACAUAAAGCCCUGCUCCCAGUAGGGGGCGCAGUAAACAUACAUUCAAUAAGUGAGCCCAGAGCAGAGUUUCCAGUGGGACCAGAAUUGACCUCUAAAAAUAACCAAAAACGAAAAGAAAAAUGAAUCCCACAAAAAACAAAAACGACAUCAGGGGGACACAAUCUGGGGGAACACUCCAGAAUGUGACAGUGAAUGCAUGAAAGCAUCUAUUCUCAGAAAGAUUGCAUUUUGAGACAAACGUUUGAUGGCUCAGAAAAAGCAAAAAAGUUUUGAGGGUGGAAGACCACAACACAUACCGUCAUUAAAGCAAAAUUAAUACAGGUCUUAAAUGCCGGAGGUUACAAAACAGGCUGGCUGAGGUCAUUCAUGCCUAAUUAUUGUGCCUAAUAAUUACCUUGACUAAUUAGAGCAAAGAUUUUUAAGUAUGUUUCUAUUCCCAGACCUUGAAUCAUCAGUGACCCAGAAUAAAUCAUUUCGCUCUAUUUGCAUCUUGGAUCAUCUACGUGGAGGCACCCUUAGCCAACCGCUCUGGGAAAUUCCAAAGACUUCAUUAGUAACAGUGUAAUUUGUAUAUGGCAGGUCUAUAGAAACAUGACAUCCGUAUGUGUUGUAUGUUGGGUUCAUUUAUUUGAUUAUUCAAUUACUCUCUAGGUGCACUUGAUGUUUAUUAAGCUCCUGUUCUGAGCCAGGCCUUGGGAUAGAAGCUGGGGUGGGAUAGUGACCAAGACAGAAGGCCCCCUGUCCUCGUGGACCUGAUAGUCUAGUGGCGGAGGCAGAACCUCAAAAACAUUUUACAAUAAGUGAAAGAUGCCAGACACAAAAGGUCACAGCCUGUAUGCUCCCAUCUACAUGAAAUGCCCAGAAGAGGUAAAUCCACAGAGAAGACAGACUAGUGGGUGUCAGGGACUGUAGAGGGGAGCGGAAGGGAGAGUGACUGCUCAGUGGGGGCAGGGUUUCCUUCUGGGGCGCUGAAGAUGUCUUAGGACCUGAUAGUGGUGAUGGUUGCACGACAUUGGGAUUGUACUAAAUGUCACUGAAUUGUUGACUUUAAAACGGUUGAUGUUAAUUUUAUUAUGUGA